GCAAGUAUGCCCGAGUGGUCUAAGGGGUCAGACUCAAGUUCUGAUAAGCGUCAGCUUGCGAGGGUUCAAAUCCCUCUACUUGCA
rfam:Coccomyxa subellipsoidea C-169, whole genome shotgun sequence.